GAUGAACGCUGGCGGCGUGCCUAAUACAUGCAAGUCGAGCGAACGGACGAGAAGCUUGCUUCUCUGAUGUUAGCGGCGGACGGGUGAGUAACACGUGGAUAACCUACCUAUAAGACUGGGAUAACUUCGGGAAACCGGAGCUAAUACCGGAUAAUAUUUUGAACCGCAUGGUUCAAAAGUGAAAGACGGUCUUGCUGUCACUUAUAGAUGGAUCCGCGCUGCAUUAGCUAGUUGGUAAGGUAACGGCUUACCAAGGCAACGAUGCAUAGCCGACCUGAGAGGGUGAUCGGCCACACUGGAACUGAGACACGGUCCAGACUCCUACGGGAGGCAGCAGUAGGGAAUCUUCCGCAAUGGGCGAAAGCCUGACGGAGCAACGCCGCGUGAGUGAUGAAGGUCUUCGGAUCGUAAAACUCUGUUAUUAGGGAAGAACAUAUGUGUAAGUAACUGUGCACAUCUUGACGGUACCUAAUCAGAAAGCCACGGCUAACUACGUGCCAGCAGCCGCGGUAAUACGUAGGUGGCAAGCGUUGUCCGGAAUUAUUGGGCGUAAAGCGCGCGUAGGCGGUUUUUUAAGUCUGAUGUGGAAGCCCACGGCUCAACCGUGGAGGGUCAUUGGAAACUGGAAAACUUGAGUGCAGAAGAGGAAAGUGGAAUUCCAUGUGUAGCGGUGAAAUGCGCAGAGAUAUGGAGGAACACCAGUGGCGAAGGCGACUUUCUGGUCUGUAACUGACGCUGAUGUGCGAAAGCGUGGGGAUCAAACAGGAUUAGAUACCCUGGUAGUCCACGCCGUAAACGAUGAGUGCUAAGUGUUAGGGGGUUUCCGCCCCUUAGUGCUGCAGCUAACGCAUUAAGCACUCCGCCUGGGGAGUACGACCGCAAGGUUGAAACUCAAAGGAAUUGACGGGGACCCGCACAAGCGGUGGAGCAUGUGGUUUAAUUCGAAGCAACGCGAAGAACCUUACCAAAUCUUGACAUCCUUUGACAACUCUAGAGAUAGAGCCUUCCCCUUCGGGGGACAAAGUGACAGGUGGUGCAUGGUUGUCGUCAGCUCGUGUCGUGAGAUGUUGGGUUAAGUCCCGCAACGAGCGCAACCCUUAAGCUUAGUUGCCAUCAUUAAGUUGGGCACUCUAAGUUGACUGCCGGUGACAAACCGGAGGAAGGUGGGGAUGACGUCAAAUCAUCAUGCCCCUUAUGAUUUGGGCUACACACGUGCUACAAUGGACAAUACAAAGGGCAGCGAAACCGCGAGGUCAAGCAAAUCCCAUAAAGUUGUUCUCAGUUCGGAUUGUAGUCUGCAACUCGACUACAUGAAGCUGGAAUCGCUAGUAAUCGUAGAUCAGCAUGCUACGGUGAAUACGUUCCCGGGUCU
rnacentral:rRNA from 1 species